rnacentral:rRNA from 1 species
AGUGAACGCUGGCGGUAGGCCUAACACAUGCAAGUCGAACGGCAGCACAGUAAGAGCUUGCUCUUACGGGUGGCGAGUGGCGGACGGGUGAGGAAUACAUCGGAAUCUACUUUUUCGUGGGGGAUAACGUAGGGAAACUUACGCUAAUACCGCAUACGACCUACGGGUGAAAGCAGGGGAUCUUCGGACCUUGCGCGAUUGAAUGAGCCGAUGUCGGAUUAGCUAGUUGGCGGGGUAAAGGCCCACCAAGGCGACGAUCCGUAGCUGGUCUGAGAGGAUGAUAGGCCACACUGGAACUGAGACACGGUCCAGACUCCUACGGGAGGCAGCAGUGGGGAAUAUUGGACAAUGGGCGCAAGCCUGAUCCAGCCAUACCGCGUGGGUGACGAAGGCCUUCGGGUUGUAAAGACCUUUUGUUGGGAAAGAAAAGCAGCAGGUUAAUACCCCGCUGUUCUGACGGUACCCAAAGAAUAAGCACCGGCUAACUUCGUG